GUCUGCAACCUCAGGUCCUCGGUCUGCGGUGACAGCUACUGCUGAUGAUGACGAGCCCUCCACGGAUAAUGAUGCACGUCGGGCGACUGCUGCUAGUCCUCAUCAAAUCCUCCUAGGGUGAGUCCUCCGUACGCGGAGAAAGCUAGACGUAGGGUCAAACACGAUCGGAAGAAUUCCGUUUGAACAAAUUGAAUACAGAUAUGAAUCUAUAACAACGAAGGCGACUGAACAGAUACAAGCUCAAGAACAUAAGCUCGGGAGCUCCGGGGACCGAACAUUAUACUACGAACAUACUGAAUGAAAUAAACAUCUCAACACAACACU
rnacentral:rRNA from 1 species